rnacentral:tRNA from 1 species
GGGCUCGUAGUCUAGUUUGGUAGGAUCGGGCCUUCGGGAGGCUCAGACAGGAGUUCGAAUCUCCUCGGGCCCA